rnacentral:pre_miRNA from 1 species
UGCUUCUGUGUGAUAUGUUUGAUAUUGGGUUGUUUAAUUAGGAACCAACUAAAUGUCAAACAUAUUCUUAUAGCAGUAG